AUUGAACGCUGGCGGCAGGCCUAACACAUGCAAGUCGAACGAGUGGCGGACGGGUGAGUAAUGUCUGGGAAACUGCCUGAUGGAGGGGGAUAACUACUGGAAACGGUAGCUAAUACCGCAUACCAUCAGAUGUGCCCAGCUGGGAUUAGCUAGUUGGUGGGGUAACUGCUCACCAAGGCGACGAUCCCUAGCUGGUCUGAGAGGAUGACCGGCCACACUGGAACGGAGACACGGUCCAGACUCCUACGGGAGGCAGCAGUGGGGAAUAUUGCACAAUGUGCGCAAGGCUGAUGCAGCCAUGCCGCGGGUAUGAAUAAGGCCUUCGGGGUGUAAAGUACUUUCAGCGGGGAGGCGUUACCCGCAGAAUAAGCACCGGCUAACUCCGUGCCAGCCGCCGCGGUAAUUC
rnacentral:rRNA from 1 species